UACCAGCACCCCGAGUGGUCGGGACGUUUAUUGGGCCUAAAGCAUCCGUAGCCGGUUCUACAAGUCUUCCGUUAAAUCCAACUGCUUAACAGGUGGGCUGCGGAAGAUACUAUAGAGCUAGGAGGCGGGAGAGGCAAGCGGUACUCGAUGGGUAGGGGUAAAAUCCGUUGAUCCAUUGAAGACCACCAGUGGCGAAGGCGGCUUGCCAGAACGCGCUCGACGGUGAGGGAUGAAAGCUGGGGGAGCAAACCGA
rnacentral:rRNA from 1 species